rnacentral:tRNA from 1 species
GGAGGGUGGCGAGCAUGGUGCUCGAGCGGUCCCGAAAACCGCGCCCCGCUCUGCGGUGAUGGUUCGAUCCCUUCACCCUCCGCCA